GCUGGAAUCGCUAGUAAUCGCGAAUCAGCAUGUCGCGGUGAAUACGUUCCCGGGUCUUGUACACACCGCCCGUCACACCAUGGGAGUCGGUAACGCCCGAAGUCAGUGACCCAACCGGAAGGAGGGAGCUGCCGAAGGCGGGACUGGUAACUGGGGUGAAGUCGUAACAAGGUAUC
rnacentral:rRNA from 1 species